rnacentral:tRNA from 3 species
GCGUCAGUGGUGGAACGGUAGACACGCUACCUUGAGGGGGUAGUGCCUUACGGGUGUGGAGGUUCAAAUCCUCUCUGGCGCACCA